UUUAAAUUUCAAUACUUAUAUCCUCUUCUCUUAUCUUAAAAUUACGACUUUUUUAUUUAAAAAAAAAAACCUCUGGUGGAGCCUAAAAAACUCCACUUUCAGUAUAUAUGUAGAUUCCCUUAUUAAAUUAACUUUUGUCAUGUUUAACAAAUGUACAUGACAUUCCAUGUUUUUUCCUCACUAAUUUUAAAUGGUUAGGAGGGUAAUUAGUUUAUGAAAUUAUUUUUAGAAAGUGAUCAAAGUGAUUCCUAAUUCCUAAAAAUUAAAAUAAUCAUAUUCAAGCAAAUGGUCAUACUUGUAAUUAAUCAAUAUAUUAAAUACUAAUACACUUUCAAAAUAAUGAUUUCCUAUAAAGUAAAAUAUUGCUAAUCACAAAAACUAAAGUUUUUUUAAACUUAUAAUUCUUCAAGAAAUUUUCAUUUAUAGUCAAACACUUUUUUUUUGUUUUUACUUCCAAAAACAAAAAUAAAUAGCAAAGAGCAUAAUUGAAUUAAAUCUAGAAAAGCACGAAUAUGCUUUCUAUGAAAUCAUGCUUGUAUCAAACUUUAAAUCUUGAAAAAUCAUCGAUUUUGGUAUGAUGAAUAAUGUCAUUUUCCUUGAGCAAAAUGCAUUUGUUGCUAAGGUAUAUCAACGCUUUUUUUCAGAACAUGGGUGGUCAAUAUUAUUCUUGUUAUAGUCUACAUGUGAGUUGCAUAAGCCUUAAGUAAAUGGCCAGAGAUGAUAUGUUACCAAAUUAUGUUACCAGUUAUAUUCUUUCUCCUUCAAUGGUAAACCUAACAUCUCCUUUAUUUCUUUCUGUGUGGGAAAAGAGUAAAUCUCCAUGUGCUUAUGUGGUUCGUUUCACAAUCUGUCCGUUAUCGCCUUUUACACUAUAGUUUUGAUAUAUUUUGGGUUUUCUUUUGAUCAAUGUUUCUUUGAGUAUUGAAAAUUUUAACCAAAGCAAACCAGCUAGCCUUAAUCCUCCUCUUAGAUCGUCUAAAAACCCCCCAUACUGUUUUUGAAAUAAUUUUUCAGCUUAUUGAGUCAAAAGUGAAUAAGCAAGAAAACAUGAUAUAGCACAAACUCAUACGUCUUAAACUCAAUUCCUUAUCUCAAAAGCUUACAUUCAAAUGGCAGAUAUGAUGCAUGAAUCUGGUCAAAUGAAUUUUAAAUUGUUUAAAGAUUUCUUUUAUUUCAAAAAAAAAAAAAGAAAAGAAUUUGUGGUGUAACUAAUGGAGUAAUUGCUAGUAAUACAUAUUCUAUACUUCACUAGUUACGUAUAUGUAUAAUUUAUGCAUUAGAUUUUAUUUGUCUUGAUUCAAAAAUUUUUUUUGAAGCGAAUUAGAUUUAUCUCCAUCUAUAUAAAUUAAUCACAAAUGGGAUAUCAUCUUGUGAAAUUAACAUAAGGUUUUAUUAAGGUUGUGUUAUUUGGAAAUUUUUGUCAAUUUUCCAUAUUCUUGGUAUAUAGGUAUAAGCCUUACUUUUCAUGAAAGUUCCCUUUGCUUUAGAACCGAAUGAUAUCUUUGACAAAAGCCCUUCCCUACUUGUUAAGUAUUUUAACACAUUGUCUUUCUAAAUUUGGAUAAAAAUUUUUGUUCAAUGUUUUUGGCCUAGCCUUUUUUAAUAUUCCCUUCUAUCAUCCUUUUACAUGAGGGGCUUUGGUGCCAAACAAGUUCAUAUCGACACCAUCACCGAGCAUCGCGCCACAAGAAAGGCCUAAUUUCCUCCUCAUUCCAACAGAUUUUGGCAAUGUCACAAUUGCAUGACCCUAUCACAUGUGAUGGAUUCUUCAAACUGUUAGUUGGCAUAGAAAUUAUAGUUAUGAAUCCAUAAGCUACAAAAAUAAUUUUAAUUAUAUAUAUGAUCAUAGGUUUGGUACAGUAAACCGAAUUCAGCAACCGGAAUUUCAUGUGUCAACCCUAACUUGAAACCACAAGAGAAAACUCAGACCUCAAAUUUAAUUCCUUACUAUCAUUUAUGUACAACUCAUCGAGGCAGGCUCUAAUAUCAAUUGCUAUGGCAAAAAUAUCAAAAUGAAAGCAAGCAUGAAAGCUUGCGUAUCUAAGAUGAAAACUUUGGAGAAGGAAUGGCUAUGGUUGUUUUGACUUCUAUACAAGAUUCCAUUAAUCUGAAAAAAAUAGCAGUACACUAAGUCUGGAUGACUUGAAACGACCAAAUUUCAACACCCUUUUACAAAAGCCAAAUGAACAAGAUGUGAAUGAAGAAGUCAUGGAGCAAUUGCUUUUUUUUUUCUUUUUCUUUUUCGUUUCAAACAUGGCAAUACGCGAUUCACAUGAAUGGAACGUGGAUUUCAUCUUCCUUAAUUGCUUGUCACACACAUGCAAGAUAGCUAUAUUUGUGUUGCAUAAUUUUGAUCGCAAUGAAGGCAAAAAAGGUUCAAAGAUAUAGAUGAUAUAAUCAGUGAUUGCCUAUAAACUCUGGAUAAAGAUUCUAACAUUGAAAAGUAGAGGCAGAGUUUGAAUUUUCCCACGUUGUUCUUGAGGCCUAAAGCCGCAAAUUGAUCCUUACACGCUAGUUAUGAAUCCAAAUAUGUUGGACAAUGUCCUGCUACAUGAUCUUGGUUUGAUUUGGAUGAUUGAAUCUUAAACACGACAAAUCAUGGGGAUGAAAUUGAUCUUAUCAAUCGUUUAAUCAGACGUUUAAUUUAAUUUGUUGCAAUAUUAAAUGAACUUUGUUAAUUUUGUUCCAUUACUACAUAAGCUAAUUAUCUGCAAAACUCUUACUUAAUUAGCAUGGAUAGGGUAUUAGGACUUUAGUUCAAAUCUCAAUUUUCAUGCAAAUCAAAGUCUAUAAUGAGCAUUGACUAUACAAAAUGAAACUGACCGAAAAUCUAAAGAAAAUAGAAAGAAAAGUUCGUACCUGUGCCUUUGGGUGAUUUAAAACAAAAUCUUUGAGUUCUUAGUGUGUUAAGGUUAUUUAGAUAUAGCUUGAUUGGUAUUCAUUAACUUUAUAAAGCAUUAGUUCUAAAAUCAAUGUCAAAUGUUUAAAUCUUUUUUAUUUUUGUGUGUAAAAAAAAAUUUGAGGAGAUGAGAGAAUUCAAAUCUUACAUCUCAAGUCUCAACUCUCUUAACUAAGAUAACAAUCGUUAGAUCGAACUAAACCCGAAUUUUGAAAUUUGUUCUCAUGUGACCCCAAUAAAAACACAAUUUGCUCCAUUUUAUGUGUUGUAGGGACAUGGAAUUAGCCAGAUCAAUAUAACGGAAUUAAUCAACUAAUAAUCAAUUUGUGUAAAAGAAAUUGAAGAACAGGCCUUUGUAUUGGAAUAUUGCUUACUUUUUUAGUUUCUUAUUGUAAUGUCAAAUCGGGCACGCAAGAUGCACUUUAUUUGCAAAGAAAUUAGGUGCAUUUAUAAGCAAAGGAACAUAUAUAACAGUUUCUUGCUUUCUUUUCUUGUUUGAAUUAUGUUUAUGUCUGCCAAUUCCAGCAGAUGUAGUUGAACUUUAACAAGGCAUUAUCUACCCUUCAUCUCUAGAUUGUUAUCUUACAUUUUUAAGCAAAGAUGGAAUUAAUAAAAUUCUAAUCAUUGAAUUAAUCGAACUUAUAAACUUAUCUUAAUAUGAUUUUUAACAUUAAUUUCAAGAAAAGACAGGCUUUGUUUUGAUUCAAAUGAUCUAAUCUGUUCAUAUUGAUCUCUUUCGAAACAAUUUCCAGAUCGAACUCAGCCUUUCAAGAGGGUCUAAAGUAAGAAAUUGGGAGCCGACAGUCAUUGUUUAUCAUCAUUCAUCACCCUUUCAAUUCAUAAAAUUGGAUUUCAUUUUCAUAUUGGAAAGCUACAGAUGAACAAAAUAUAGGGUCUGACUUAACAAGUAGAGCUCAACAAUGGCAAACAAGGCAGCCUUAAGGUCCAGGUUUUGCUCUACCUGAUAAAGAAUUUUUGCUCAGUGAAAUUUAGUAGUUGAUUUCUCUUGUGCUUGGAUUCAAGCUGACUUUGGUAAUAAAUUUGCAAAUACAAACACUUGCCAUUUUUGAAAAUCAUGACAAAUUUUUUUUUGUCUUUGUCAUGGGCAAUUUGGCAAAGAUAAUCAAAGGAAUCAUAAAAUUGAAAGCUUACAUUGAAGCAACUAGAAGCUAGCCACUAAAAAUAUAAAUCUCAAGUAAUAUCGAUAAAUCUAUCACCAUUACUACCAUAUAUAUUAUGCAUGAAUGUGGUUUUAAUGGUGUAAAAUGAAAUGA
rnacentral:lncRNA from 1 species